rnacentral:tRNA from 1 species
GCCCGGCUAGCUCAAUCGGUAGAGCGUGAGACUCUUAAGGAUUCUCCGUUGAAAAAUUAAAUCUCAAGGUUGUGGGUUCGACCCCCACGUCGGGCU